UUAAUGAAAUGGAAUACUGCUACCUGUAACAGCACCCAGAAUAAUUUGAGUUACCAUUAUGAACUAUCAGGAGGAGUCCACCAAGGAAGUACAACAAAAACUGAAGUUCUUAUAAAUGACGGAAUUGUACCUUGUACUCAGUACACAUUUUCAGUUUUUGCGUCGUAUAUGAAUGUUAGCAGCAUUACUGAUAUUAUGGAGUUCAUGUCUGGUGUUGACUAUCCUGGAAAACCAACCAUUAGUUCCUUAACAUCAACGUCUUCAUCAAUCGCACUGGAAUUGACAUUAUCUGAUGAUAAUCCUUGCACAAUACUAGGAUACAAUGUGCUUGUAUAUAGUGAUAUACAGAAUUUAGAGUUCAAUAUGGAUACCACAGCGACUUCACUGACAGUUAAUGAAAAUAUAAUGCCGAAUACUAUCUACAAUAUCCAGGUAGCAGCCAAAACUCAAAAAGGCUUCGGUAAUUUCUCUGAUGUUGGUUAUGUGUCUACCGAUGCAGAGUCUGGCAUAGGUGGUAUAGUAGGUGGUGUUAUCGGAAGUUUAUCUGCGGCAAUCAGUAUUGUCUUUGCCUUGAUUUUUGUUAAACGACGCCGCAAUUCAAGCAAUGAAGUUGUUAGACCAGCUGCUGUUCAAAAACAAGGUGUUUUCGACACAGAAAAUGAAUUGAUGCCUGCAGUUGAAGGUCAUGCUAAUUUAGUGGAUGUGAGAAGUCCGGAUGAUGAGGAUGAUGGUGCUCCUCCAAUUGAAAACGUGUAUGCGAACUCUGAACCUGUUUAUGGAAAUACAAACUUGGAAAAUCAGGAAUACAGACCGAUUGAGUUAGCAAGGCUGCAUAAUUACGUGAAGAAACAAAACAGCAGCCUAAAAAACGGAUUUGAAAAGGAAUUUGAGGACAUUGGCAACAAGCCCCUGUAUCCCUGGACCGCUGCAAAACAUGCCAAGAAUAGAACUAAAAACAGAUAUGCAAAUGUUAUUCCAUAUGACAAUUCACGUGUAGUACUUGAUAUGUGGAAUAACAUUCCUGAGUCAGACUAUAUAAAUGCUUCGUAUUUAGAUGGAUAUACGACACCACGUGAGUUCAUUGCAUGUCAAGGUCCAAAUGUUGCAUCAGUCAAUGAUAUGUGGAGAAUGAUCUGGCAGGAAAAGUCAACGAUAAUUGUGGUUGUUACUAAUGUCUUCGAAGGAACCAAGCGAAAAUGCGAGCAGUAUUGGCCAGAAGAAAAUGAUGGUAAACGAUAUGCAAACAUUACUGUAGCGAACGCAGGGGAGACCAAAUAUGGACAUUAUGUGGUUAGAAAUCUACAACUUCAGAAGGUUGGGAAGGAAGAGUUACAUAAUGUAUUUCAAUAUCAUUUCACUGAUUGGCCAGAUAAGAGUGUUCCCCGCGCUGUUCCACAUUUGAUUGACUUCAUCUACGCCUUUAGGACAGCACAGCAGAAUUCUCCAAGCGACAGUGGACCAGUCAUAGUACACUGCAGUGCUGGAGCUGGUAGGACAGGUACAGUUAUUGUAAUUGCUUCAAUGCUGGACAUGGCAAAGCAAGAAGGGAAGGUAGACGUGUUUAAUUUUGUGCGAAGCAUGAGGGAGAAACGUAUCCAAAUGGUGCAAACCGAGGAGCAAUACAGAUUCAUCUAUGCAGUAUUACUUGAAGAGUUGUUCUGUGGACAGACACAAAUUCCAGUAUCUGAUUUAUACCAAGUAAUCCAUGAACAACAACAAGUGCAGGGAACGCACUCAACUUUCGAAUACCAACUAAAGACUUUAAACAGUAUAUAUCCUAGUCCUAUUGAUGAUGAUCGUACAUCACAUGCCAGGCUUCCCGACAACAUAUUGAAGAAUCGUUCCAAAGUUGUCUUACCAUUAAAUAAAGCUCGUCCUUUCUUGAUGACUCCAUGCACCAACGGAAAUGAUUACAUCAAUGCAUCAUUCUGCGACGGCUACAACAAGCAAAACGCAUUUAUUGUUGCCCAGGCUCCAAUGUCUGAGCCUGCCGACACAACUGUUGAUUUUUGGCGUUUAGUGUUAGAUUACAAGACGGACAUAAUCGUACAACUGAAUAACAAAGAUGAAACUUGCACCGCAUACCUUCCUCAACGGAUGAAUGAAGAGCUGAAGAUUGAUAAAUUUACCAUUAGCAUCAUUUCGUCUGAGCAGAACGACUUAAUGAUCGAACGGAAAAUCAUGCUACAAAAGGACAAUGAUGUACAAGAGAUUCUGCACUUUGAGUUUCGGCAGUGGUCUAAGGCAGAACCUGUUCCAAAGGUUGACUCAUUUGUCAGAUUUAUUGCAGCCGUUCAACGUGGUCACAUUCCUCAAAGUAACCGGCCAAUCAUCAUUCAUUGUCUGGAUGGCGCGGUUCGAUCAGGAUUGUUCUGCUCCGUUUAUUCAAUAAUCGAUAAAAUUAAAGAAGAGAAAAUUGUGGAUGUAUUCCAAAUACUGAAAACCCUGCGAUCAGUUUGCCCUGCAAUGGUGAAUACUAAGGUGCAGUAUAGAUUUUGCUACGAUGCAGCGCGGUGUUACCUUGACGGAUUUGAAGCUUAUGUCAACUUUUAGUUAUAUCAAAAUCCAUAUGUUACUCAGAAGACACAUUUGAUAGUCAUAAAUUUAUUUGUGUUAAUUUAAUAGUUAAAUUGGAUAAGUAUUAUCAGUUAUUAAAAAAUUAUUACUCAUAAUAUCCUUAUUUUCACACCAAACUGCAAGAAAAGUUCAACAAUUACAGAAUGCCAACAAAUGCAAUCUCUAUUGUCAUGGAAAAUGCCUCUUUUAACAUUUACAAAUGAACUUAUAAUAUUACAAUACAAAUCUGUUUACUUCUAAAAAAUAAGUGGCACACGCCAUGUAUUCAAGCAAUAACAAAUCAAAGUAAUGUAAGGUAUAGGAAGAAGCAUGCCAUCAUGAUUUAGGCUCAGUCGGCAACAUUUUACUUCUAAGGACCCAUAGUUAGCCUAGCUUCCCACUACCAAGACUUCAAGUUAUCAUAGAAAUGUUGUCAAAGAUACAAAAUAUACGACCAAUGUAAUACAGUAGCACCCCCUACUCUGGGACACCCUAUUAAGGGGACACUUUUUAGUGAACCAACCCCUAUUAAAGGGACACUUUUUUUUUUUUUAUUGUAUCGCAAAAAACUACAGCUGUCUAAAAGGUUUUAAAAAAAAUCAUUAAACUUUAUAUUCUGAUAAAUUUUGAGCAAUGAACUUCACAUCCAACCAGAAUUUUCUCCCCUGAAUCCGGUGUGAACAUCGGUAUAGGCCCCUAAUGCUUAAUUAAUUUGUUUAAAGUUCCAAACUAUUUUUUUUUUAGUUGGGCUCACGGUCACGGGCCAAAGAUAAUAUCUGAGUAAUAAAGCAGCUCGUUAUAAUGUUUUUGGUAAUUUCAAAAUCUACUUUUUUUUUGUGCUACACAAGAAUAUUAGGGUAGUGCAAACAUUAAUAUUCUCUAAAUGUAAGCAAAGAAUAUAUAUCAAUAACCAUUCUGUUCACACCCUUGUUCACUUUAUAGCAACUGGAAUAUCUUUAAAGAAAGUCCAAUUUUAAAUACUAAUGUUGGAAUGUUACAAUAACAGUUUAUAAAAAAAACCUGUGAAUUAUGAUGUUUAAUUACAACUCACCGAUUCGACCGAACAAUCAGCGUCACCAUAAGUUGUUGGCGAUAGAGUGUAGUGAUUUUAUGGAAACUAUGGUAUAUUUUAUAUAUGGUUCAAUGUAUUGGACAAUUUUCAGUGACGUUUUUAAUUAUGACUAGAUAGACCUAAUCUCAAAAUUACAAAUAUUGUUCAAAUGAAAAAAAUGGAAUCUGCACAUGUUAAUAGUUUUAGUUUUUGGGUUUUGGAAUGACAGAAGUAAUAUUAUCAAAUGAUAUGAAAUAUUUUACAAAAUAUAGUCCUACACUGUUAUUUUCGAGGAUUUAUUUUAACUCCCAACUCCUAAAAAUGUACAGAAUAACUCCUUCGUAAUUAAAAUAUCGCCUUGAAAAUAACAGUGUAACCUUUUUAUGGUAUAUGAUUUUUCAUUUAUAAUUACUCCAAAUAUAUACCUAAAUAUAUUCCAUGACACCAUUAUUUUCAUUCUUUUUAUGUAUUGAUAUGUAUUGGUUAAAUGGACUAAGAUUUUUAGCUAUUUUUACAAAUAGAUUUAUUUUUGUAUAUUAAUUUAACAUAUACUUUUAAAAUCGUUAAUUUAAGAAAGUGAAGUCAUUGUAAUGCUUAUAACACAAUGCCUCACCUGAUCUAAAAAUUAAUAAUGGAGAGUGUUUGGUCUGAUGAAUGCAUGGUUUGGCUUUCAAAAUUUCUCCAUAAUGCUUAAUGUCUAGUUAUCUUGUAGAUUAUCUAGGUAGUUUAA
rnacentral:misc_RNA from 1 species